AACGCAAAUUGCACUCUCUGGUAUUCCGGGGAGUAUGCCUGUUUGAGGGUCGCUUAACAAACAUCGAUUUCAUCGCUUUUUUUUAAGAGUGAUGUUUGUCGGAUUUGAGCCGUCUUUUUUUUAUAUAUUUUAUAUAUAUUUAAAAGUGGCUUAAAAUUGAUUUUUCUGGUAUGAUCGAAGCGUAUUUAUGAUCAAUUUUUGGUUAAAGAAACGCACGCGUACCUUCAUUCAUAUGAUGUAAUACGUUUGACUAUUGGACUUAGUUCAUUCGUAUACGAUAUUUUUCAAAUUUUGACCUCAAAUCAGGUAAGAACACCCGCUGAACUUAA
rnacentral:misc_RNA from 1 species